rnacentral:rRNA from 1 species
AGAUUAAGUUAUUAAGGGCGCACGGUGGAUGCCUUGGCACUAGAAGCCGAUGAAGGACGUUACUAACGACGAUAUGCUUUGGGGAGCUGUAAGUAAGCUUUGAUCCAGAGAUUUCCGAAUGGGGAAACCCAGCAUGAGUUAUGUCAUGUUAUCGAUAUGUGAAUACAUAGCAUAUCAGAAGGCACACCCGGAGAACUGAAACAUCUUAGUACCCGGAGGAAGAGAAAGAAAAUUCGAUUCCCUUAGUAGCGGCGAGCGAAACGGGAAGAGCCCAAACCAACAAGCUUGCUUGUUGGGGUUGUAGGACACUCUAUACGGAGUUACAAAGGACGACAUUAGACGAAUCAUCUGGAAAGAUGAAUCAAAGAAGGUAAUAAUCCUGUAGUCGAAAAUGUUGUCUCUCUUGAGUGGAUCCUGAGUACGACGGAGCACGUGAAAUUCCGUCGGAAUCUGGGAGGACCAUCUCCUAAGGCUAAAUACUCUCUAGUGACCGAUAGUGAACCAGUACCGUGAGGGAAAGGUGAAAAGCACCCCGGAAGGGGAGUGAAAUAGAACCUGAAACCGUGUGCUUACAAGUAGUCAGAGCCCGUUAAUGGGUGAUGGCGUGCCUUUUGUAGAAUGAACCGGCGAGUUACGAUUUGAUGCAAGGUUAAGCAGUAAAUGUGGAGCCGUAGCGAAAGCGAGUCUGAAUAGGGCGUUUAGUAUUUGGUCGUAGACCCGAAACCAGGUGAUCUACCCUUGGUCAGGUUGAAGUUCAGGUAACACUGAAUGGAGGACCGAACCGACUUACGUUGAAAAGUGAGCGGAUGAACUGAGGGUAGCGGAGAAAUUCCAAUCGAACCUGGAGAUAGCUGGUUCUCUCCGAAAUAGCUUUAGGGCUAGCCUCAAGUGAUGAUUAUUGGAGGUAGAGCACUGUUUGGACGAGGGGCCCCUCUCGGGUUACCGAAUUCAGACAAACUCCGAAUGCCAAUUAAUUUAACUUGGGAGUCAGAACAUGGGUGAUAAGGUCCGUGUUCGAAAGGGAAACAGCCCAGACCACCAGCUAAGGUCCCAAAAUAUAUGUUAAGUGGAAAAGGAUGUGGCGUUGCCCAGACAACUAGGAUGUUGGCUUAGAAGCAGCCAUCAUUUAAAGAGUGCGUAAUAGCUCACUAGUCGAGUGACACUGCGCCGAAAAUGUACCGGGGCUAAACAUAUUACCGAAGCUGUGGAUUGUCCUUUGGACAAUGGUAGGAGAGCGUUCUAAGGGCGUUGAAGCAUGAUCGUAAGGACAUGUGGAGCGCUUAGAAGUGAGAAUGCCGGUGUGAGUAGCGAAAGACGGGUGAGAAUCCCGUCCACCGAUUGACUAAGGUUUCCAGAGGAAGGCUCGUCCGCUCUGGGUUAGUCGGGUCCUAAGCUGAGGCCGACAGGCGUAGGCGAUGGAUAACAGGUUGAUAUUCCUGUACCACCUAUAAUCGUUUUAAUCGAUGGGGGGACGCAGUAGAAUAGGCGAAGCGUGCGAUUGGAUUGCACGUCUAAGCAGUAAGGCUGAGUAUUAGGCAAAUCCGGUACUCGUUAAGGC